CUACGGGAGGCAGCAGUGAGGAAUACUGGUCAAUGGGCUUACGCCUGAACCAGCCAAGUCGCGUGAGGGAAGACUGCCCUAUGGGUUGUAAACCUCUUUUGUCAGGGAGCAAUUGGCGCUACGUGUAGCGUUAUCGAGAGUACCUGAAGAAAAAGCAUCGGCUAACUCCGUGCCAGCAGCCGCGGUAAUACGGAGGAUGCGAGCGUUAUCCGGUUUUAUUGGGUUAAAAGGGUGCGCAGGCGGCGUGUCAAGCAAGCGGUAAAAUAGCGGGGCUCAACCCCGUCGAGCCGUUUGAACUGGCGCGCUUGAGUUCAGGCGAGGUAGGCGGAAUUCGUGGUGUAGCGGUGAAAUGCAUAGAUAUCACGAAGAACUCCGAUUGCGAAGGCAGCUUACCAGUCUGCGACUGACGCUCAGGCACGAAAGUGUGGGUAUCGAACAGGAUUAGAUACCCCAGUAGUC
rnacentral:rRNA from 1 species